rnacentral:lncRNA from 10 species
GCCAACUUCGCGGUCUCCACGUCGCGCUUAACGUGGCAGCAGCACGCACUUCCAGCAUCUUUUUUUAGACAGCAUCUUUUUCAGCCUCGCUCUGUCGCCGAGGCUGGAGGGCAGUGGCGCGAUCUAGGCUCACUGCAGCCUUGACCUCCCGGGUUCAAGCGAUCCUCCUGCCUCAGCCUCCGGAGUAGCUGGGACCACAGGCGCGCGCCGCCACGCCCGGCUGGUUUGUUACUUUUAUUUUUGUCUCCCUAUUUUGCCCAGGCUAGUCUGGAACUCCUGGGCUCAAGCGAUCCGCCCACCUCGGUCUUCGAAAGUGCUGGGAUUCCAGGCGUGAGCCGCCGCGCCGGCCUUAACAGCGCAUUUUCACCAGCCCCGCCCCGGCCGCGCGCGGCACUGGAAACCCCAGCGCCUUCUGGACGGCGAGGGUGACGCACUGGCCCUCUUCCUCGGUGUCCUCAGGUGCGUGGCGGCGGCAGUGAGAAUGAGUUCUUCGAGAUCGCCGGGAGACCACACAAUAACGACGAAGUUACUUGCCGGGCUACCCGCCGAGACUUGAAAACUUCGCGGCGACUUCUCUCGCCGGCCUUAGCAUCGCCCCCAUUUUUCAGGCCCCCACUGGUCGCGUCCGGCGCUGGAGGAGCCCAGUCAGCCGGCGCCUGCCGGGUUAGCACGUGGACUCCGAGGGGCCAACUAUCAGCUUUCCCUGACAAAAUGCCUUUGAGCUCCCCCACAGCUCUGAAACUCCAGCUUGGGAGCAGGGAGAGUGCAAUCUGUGACCUGUAAAGGGGCGCUGGGCAAAAGGGCCCGAGAGAAGGCGUCCUUUCCAUUCCCUUCCCAUCUCAAGCUGAGUUCAGAAAUGACACGAAAUAAUUUAAUCAACUAUCAGUCAAGGUCGGGCUCACGCCUGUAAUCCCAGCAGUUUGGGAGGCCGAGGUGGGCGGAUCACCUGAGGACAGGAGUUCGAGACCAGCCUGACCAACAUGACGAAGCCCCGUCUCUACUAAAAAUACAAAAAUUAGCCAGCGGUGGUGGUGCGCACCUGUAGUCUCAGCUACUUGGGAGGCUGAGGCCAGAGAAUCGCUUGAGCCCGCGAGGUCGAGGCUGCAGUGAGCCGAGAUCACACCACUGCACUCCAACCUGGAUGACAGAGGGAGACUCUGUCUCAAAAAAUAAUAAAUAAAUAAAUAAAUAAAUAAACUAUCGG